CAACUGUCUGGAGGAUGCCAGAGCUGUGCUGAGUGAGGUGGAGUUGCUGCAGGCCACCAUUGACCAGGUCUCUCUCAGGGAGGAAGAGCCUUCCAGGAGAGUGUCUGGUGAGAGAAAGACUGCAGCGUCCGGCUCACAGAGGAAGAGACAGAGAAAAAGGGAGGAAGAGGAAGACAGCGACUCCAGUGCAGAAUUUGAUCAGUGGGUUCAGUGUAGUAGGUCUGUCUGUGGGAAAUGGAGGAGAGUGGAGAGACACGUUGACCUGGCUGCCCUUCCCAGCGACUGGACCUGUAUACACGACACAGGCCCUGGUCUCUGUGAGGCUGCGGAGGACAGCUGGUCGGAACAAGAGUGUGAUGUCAUCAACAGCAGUCUGGUUCCUGGGUCUCUGGUCUGGGCUCAACAGAUUGGAUAUCCUUGGUACACUACGCACACAUACUGAACACAAUUUAAAUGUUUUCUUUGUUUAACUUGGCAAGUCAGU